rnacentral:rRNA from 1 species
UACGGAGGGUGCAAGCGUUGUCCGGAAUCACUGGGCGUAAAGGGCGCGUAGGCGGCUCAUGAAGGCUGUGGUGAAAGUCCGGGGCUCAACCUCGGAUCGGCCGUGGCGACUCGUGGGCUGGAGCACUGUAGAGGCGGGUGGAAUUCCGGGUGUAGCGGUGGAAUGCGUAGAGAUGCGGAGGAACACCGAUGGCGAAGGCAGCCCUGGGCUAACACUGACGCUCAGGCACGAAAGCGUGGGAGCAAACAGGAUUAGAAAC